UUAGAUCACUCUCUACGAGCUAUCGAUGCUCCGUUGAAUAAGCAACAUUUCAUGACUCCUCGAUUGGACCCAUUCCCCUCGCUUCUUCCUUUUAUAGUUGUCCUCGAUUUUCGUCCCACUGACGUCGGCGAUGCCCAUGACUUCGGGAUUCCAUCUUGUGCUCCUGCGUCAUCUAGAAAAAGCUUAUUUGAGCCAGAUUGGAGGAGCAUCAGAGUUGCCCCCCAAAUGAUGAAGGAAGAUAGUGAAGGUGGCCCACGGCCAUGGGAGGUAGCUGUCGUGGUGCAGCCAAUGGUGGGGAGCUCGCUCCGAAGGCAUGGUGAUAAUCGCCGAAGAUCAGCUUCGUCUGGGGCUCACCCCCUGAGAGGGAGAGGGCACGUGGCUGCCAUGGUCGCUGAAACUGAGGAAGGAGGAGAUGCAGCAGUAUAGGGAGCUCACUAAGCUGCUACAACUGACCCGCGAACCUCACGAAACCCAAGGAGGGACCCGACGAACAUCAGUGAAGGGGGUGGACCCAAUGAACCCCGGUGAUGGGGCAGGACCCACUGGAUCCAGGGAACCUUUCGGGACCCAUAGGGAACCAGCGAACUCUUCGGGACUCGUCGAGCUUGACUUGGCUAAUUUCUCGAGCCCUAUGAGAGACCUGGUGAACCUGACCCAAUGAACCUCUCGGGAACCAUAGGGGACUCAGCGAACCUCUCAAUGUAGGCGAAGGGUCGAGAGGAAGGAGGCAGUCGAUGCAGACCGAGACAGAGAGUUUUCGGAAGGAUCUCGCAGGGAAGAGGUGGUUGGAGGCGAUUGCCAAUGGGCGUUAGAGCUCCGACUGGUGGCUGAUGGCGCUCCCGUUGUUAUUAGUUAUUCUUGCUUCUGCCUCGCUUUCUAGGUCUCUUUUAUUUUAUUUUAUUUUAUUUUAUUUUGCUUUUAACCUUAUACUAUAUUCUCUUGCUUGUGCAUUUUUCUGUGAAAUUUCUCUUUAGGUGGCUGAAAUGUUGAAAUGUGGUGGUUGCUGGUGUUACUGGGAGUUGUAGCCGGGAGGAGAAAGAGUAGACGUGCCUGGUGGAGAAUGUAGUCAGAGAACAGAAGGUCGGUAAGGGUGGAGAUCUUGGGGUGGUCGGAUAUGACGAUUUUUGGGAAUGACAAGAGUGUAGAGCCACGGCUUGUCGUGUCGUUUCCAUAGACGGCGCCAGUGAUUCAGGAAAAAAGGUCUGGCUAGGAAUCCUCUCUCCCAUCAAGAAGGAUCUUCGGGUCCUCUUCUGAAUUUGACCGCUGCCCCGUCACCAACGAGAAGGGCUCUUGGGGUUUUGCCCGAGAGCCCCCUCCAACGCCCUAGUUAGGUGUAUUUUGGAGAGUAUUCAAGAGGGAGUUUUCAUAUCAUAAUAGAGGAAGAUGUUGGAGAUUAUACAUGAACUAUUCUGAGUA